rnacentral:rRNA from 1 species
ACGAGCGCAACCCUUAUAACUAGUUGCCAAUAUUCAGUUAGGAACUCUGGUUAGACUGCCGUGGACAACACGGAGGAAGGUGGGGAUGACGUCAAAUCAUCAUGCCCCUUACGUCUUGGGCUACACACGUGCUACAAUGGCUAUUACAAAGAGCAGCGAAACAGCAAUGUCAAGCGAAUCUCAAAAAGAUAGUCUCAGUUCGGAUUGUGGGCUGCAACCCGCCCACAUGAAGUUGGAGUUGCUAGUAAUCCCGAAUCAGAAUGUCGGGGUGAAUGCGUUCCCGGGUCUUGNACACACCGCCCGU